rnacentral:rRNA from 1 species
UACGUAGGCAGCAAGCGUUGUUCGGAAUUACUGGGCGUAAAGAGUGUGUAGGCGGUGCUGUAAGUCUGUAGUGAAAUCUCUGGGCUCAACUCAGAGUCUGCUAUAGAAACUGCAGUGCUGGAGUGUGGGAGAGGUGAGUGGAAUUCCCGGUGUAGCGGUGAAAUUCGUAGAUAUUCGGAAGAACACCAGUGGCGAAGGCGACUCACUGGCCCGAUACUGACGCUGAUGCGCGAAAGCGUGGGGAGCAAACAGG